UGGGGAAUAUUGGACAAUGGGGGAAACCCUGAUCCAGCCAUGCCGCGUGAGUGAAGAAGGCCCUAGGGUUGUAAAACUCUUUCGGCGGGGAAGAUGAUGACGGUACCCGCAGAAGAAGCCCCGGCUAACUCCGUGCCAGCAGCCGCGGUAAUACGGAGGGGGCAAGCGUUGUUCGGAAUUACUGGGCGUAAAGGGCACGUAGGCGGCACGUUAAGUCAGGCGUGAAAGCCCUGGGCUCAACCUAGGAAUUGCGCUUGAGACUGGCGAGCUAGAGACCGGGAGGGGGUGGCGGAAUUCCCAGUGUAGAGGUGAAAUUCGUAGAUAUUGGGAAGAACACCAGUGGCGAAGGCGGCCACCUGGACCGGUUCUGACGCUGAGGUGCGAAAGCGUGGGGAGCAAACAGGAUUAGAUACCCCUGUAGUCC
rnacentral:rRNA from 1 species